AGUCUUCUUUUCCUAAAGCCUGCGGCCUAUAUUGGUCGGGUCAGGGCUUGCUCUGACUAUGGAGAUAAACGCGCACGCAAUAAGCGGACUGGACCCGGGUGCGAUUCCCGGCGGCUCCACCAAUCUUCACCGGGUUAUCGCCGGGAUGUGAGGGGCCGAUCAGCAUCGACAGACGUCUAAAGGUGUUGCUUUCUUCCGGCCUGACCCACCGUUCCGGGUCUUAAACUAACUGCGAACGAUAACUUCGCUGGAGAAGUCCGCCUGGCCGCGUAAGCGGUUCGACGGUUCUCAAUCUAAGUCCUAGGGGUUCAGAUCCUUAGGCGGGGCCCGGAGGGCGCCUGCCAACAGAAGCCCUCCACC
rnacentral:tmRNA from 1 species